GACGGGGCCGCACAAGCGGUGGAGCAUGUGGUUAAUUCGACGCAACGCGAAGAACCUUACCAGGGCUUGACAUCCCCUGACCGCGUAUGAAAGUACGUUUUCACCCUCGGGUGACAGGGAGACAGGUGGUGCAUGGUUGUCGUCAGCUCGUGUCGUGAGAUGUUGGGUUAAGUCCCGCAACGAGCGCAACCCCUACGUUAGUUGCUAACAGGUGAAGGCGAGCACUCUAGACGAACUGCCGUUGACAAAACGGAGGAAGGUGGGGAUGACGUCAAAUCAUCAUGCCCCUUAUGUUCUGGGCUACACACGUGCUACAAUGGCCGGUACAGACGGACGCAAAGCCGCGAGGCGGAGCAAAUCCGAAAAAGCCGGUCUCAGUUCGGAUUGCAGGCUGCAAUUCGCCUGCAUGAAGUCGGAAUCGCUAGUAAUCGCAGGUCAGCAUACUGCGGUGAAUACGUUCCCGGGCCUU
rnacentral:rRNA from 1 species